GCCCAAAAAGCGUGGACUAGAACUACAUGGGAUCCCAUUCUUGUCGGUUCAUACCUAACACUUUCUACCAAGCUCAAUCCGGAAAUAGGCCUCACACACACACAAAUUUAUUUAGGGUUUGAAAGAAAGGUUAGGUUCAGGGUGGGGGAAACUGUUCCAAUGAUGGGAAUCAGCUACUUGGAUUAGCAAGAGUGGUAGAAGGUGAAAGAAAAUCCAAGUAUGUGUAUUGGUAGCCACAAGUUCAACAACAAUGCAAAG
rnacentral:lncRNA from 1 species